AUUGAACGCUGGCGGAAUGCUUUACACAUGCAAGUCGAACGGCAGCACGGGGGCAACCCUGGUGGCGAGUGGCGAACGGGUGAGUAAUACAUCGGAACGUGCCCGGUCGUGGGGGAUAACGUAGCGAAAGUUACGCUAAUACCGCAUACGAUCUGAGGAUGAAAGCGGGGGACCUUCGGGCCUCGCGCGAUCGGAGCGGCCGAUGUCAGAUUAGGUAGUUGGUGGGGUAAAGGCCUACCAAGCCGACGAUCUGUAGCUGGUCUGAGAGGACGACCAGCCACACUGGGACUGAGACACGGCCCAGACUCCUACGGGAGGCAGCAGUGGGGAAUUUUGGACAAUGGGCGCAAGCCUGAUCCAGCCAUUCCGCGUGCAGGACGAAGGCCUUCGGGUUGUAAACUGCUUUUGUAUGGAACGAAAAGGCUCUGGCUAAUACCUGGGGCUCAUGACGGUACCGUAAGAAUAAGCACCGGCUAACUACGCG
rnacentral:rRNA from 1 species